rnacentral:rRNA from 1 species
CCUGGUUGAUCUUGCUUGUAGUCAUGUGCUUGUCUCAAAAAUUAAGCCAUGCAUGUGUAAGUAUGAACUAAUUUAGACUAUGAAACUAUGAAUGGCUUAUUAAAUCUAUUAUAGUUUGUUUGAUUGUAUCUACUACUUGGAUAACCAUAGUAAUUCUAGAGCUAAUACUUGUAAGAAACCUUGACUUCUAGAAAGGACACAUUUAUUAAAUAAAAGAUCGAUGCAAGUUUUGCUUGUUACUCUAAUGAUUCACAACAACUCGACCAAUCGCACAACCUUUGUGUUGGUAACAAAUCAUUCAAAUUUUUGCCUUAUCAACUUUUGAUGGUAGGAUAGUGGCCUAUUACGGUGGUGACAAGUGAUGGAGAACUAUGGUUUGAUUUUAGAGAGGGAGCUUGAGAAAUGGCUACCAUAUCCAAGGCAGGUAGCAAGUGUACAAAUGACCUAAUCCUGACAUGGGGAGCUAGUGAUAGUAAAUAACAAUAUCAAGCUUUAUAAGUCUAGUAAUUGGAAUGAGUACAAUCUAAAUCCCUUAACAAAUAUCCACUAGAGGGUAAGUCUGGUGCCAACAGUCACAAUAAUUAUAGCUCCAAUAGCUAUAUCUAAGUUGUUAUAGUUAAAAAGCUCAUAGUUAGAACUUGGGUUAGGUCAUUUGGCCCACCUCAUGGCGAGCACCAAUCUACUUGUCCCUACCAUCGACAAUGCUCCCCUAGCCUUAAUUGGCUAGAUCAUUCCUUUGGCAUUGUUACUUUGAAGAAAUUAGAGUACUUAAAGUUGGCCUAUGCUUGUAUAUAUUAGCAUAGGAUAACAUCAUAGGAUUUUGAUCUUAAUGUGUUGGCCUUCAAGAUUAGAGUAAUGAUUAACAAGGACAGUAAGAGGCAUUUGUAUUUCAUAGUCAGAGGUGAAAUUCUCGGAUUUAUGAAAAAUGAACAACUACAAGAGCAUUUGCCAAUGAUGUUUUCAUUAAUCAAGAACAAAAGUUAAAUACUCAAAGAUGUUCAAAAACUAUCCUAGUCUCAACCAUAACAAUGCCAACUAGGGAUCAAUGAAUAUUAUUUUUAGGACUCUACCAGUGCCUUAUAAGAAAUCAAAGUCUUUGGGUUUUAAGGGGAGUAUGGUCGCAAGGUUGAAAUUUAAAAGAAUUGAUGGAAGGGCACCACCAAUAGUGGAACAUACAUUUUAAUUUGACUCAACAGAGGGAAACUUACCGAGUCUAAACAUAGUAAGGAUUAACCAAAUAAGAGCUCUUUUUUAAUUCUAUGGGUGGUGGCACAUGGUCGUUCUUAGUUAGUGGAGUGAUUUGUGUAGUUAAUUCUAUUAAUGAACAAGACAUCAGCCUGCUAACUAGCUAUGCAGAGGUGACCCUUUAUGGCUAGAUUCUUAUAAGGACUUCAACCACUUAUGCCAAGAAAGUUUAAGGUAAUAAUAGGUCUGUGAUGCCCUUAUAUGUUAUGGGUCGCACAUGCACUUCAUUGAUGUAUUCAACAAGUCUCUAGCAUUAGCCAAUAGGCCUAGGUAAUCUUUCAAAUUUCAUCAUGAUGGGGAUAGAUCAUUCUAAUUAUUGGUCAUUUCUGACCCCAGACGGGCAUGAUGA